CCUACGGGAGGCAGCAGUGAGGAAUAUUGGUCAAUGGUCGGGAGACUGAACCAGCCAAGCCGCGUGAGGGAGGAAGGUACAGAGUAUCGUAAACCUCUUUUGUCAGGGAACAAAGCCUGGUACGCGUCCCCGGAUGAGUGUACCUGACGAACAAGCAUCGGCUAACUCCGUGCCAGCAGCCGCGGUAAUACGGAGGAUGCGAGCGUUAUCCGGAUUUAUUGGGUUUAAAGGGUGCGCAGGCGGUCUGUUAAGUCAGCGGUCAAAGCCCGGGGCUCAACCCCGGCCCGCCGUUGAAACUGGCAGUCUCGAGUUGGAGAGAAGUAUGCGGAAUGCGCGGUGUAGCGGUGAAAGGCAUAGAUAUCGCGCAGAACUCCGAUUGCGAAGGCAGCAUGCCGGCUCCACACUGACGCUGAGGCACGAAAGCGUGGGUAUCGAACAGGAUUAGAUACCCUAGUAGUC
rnacentral:rRNA from 1 species